AAAUGUCGACUACUGGGGGACCACUAUAAUAGUAGAUAUUCGAAUGUCUGUUGGCGUGCCAUUACGAAAUUCGAACAAAUUGUGCGCGUUCAAUUGUAUAACCUCAAUAUUUUAUCCUAAGAAGCUAUUCAAGCUACGCCUGGACGGGUAGGUGAGCUCACGGGCUCAACCUGAGAAAAUAUGCUAACACUAGCUCUAGCAAGAUCAGUUUUUUGCAGAAUCUACCACCGGCUUGGAAUCGCGACCCACUGAAAAGAUCCGAUUCUGAAACAUGGAUUUAUAAAAAGUUUAGUGUGGCUGAUGAAAAAUUAUAAAUUAAUUAAAUGUAGGUACGUAAUAUUUGGUACUUUACCUUUGUUGUCAUGAAGAUGUAAAUGACCAUACCGUUGCCCAUCAUUGAAAUGAAACCGAGGACUCCAAUGGUAAAACCCAAUAGCGCAUGCCAUAAGGGAUUCAUGGGCGGAAAUUGAUACCUAAAAAUAUUAUUGGUACAUUAUAAAAUUCUUACUUUAA